rnacentral:rRNA from 1 species
GACGAACGCUGGCGGCGUGCUUAACACAUGCAAGUCGAACGGAAAGGCCCUGCUUUUGUGGGGUGCUCGAGUGGCGAACGGGUGAGUAACACGUGAGUAACCUGCCCUUGACUUUGGGAUAACUUCAGGAAACUGGGGCUAAUACCGGAUAGGAGCUCCUGCUGCAUGGUGGGGGUUGGAAAGUUUCGGCGGUUGGGGAUGGACUCGCGGCUUAUCAGCUUGUUGGUGGGGUAGUGGCUUACCAAGGCUUUGACGGGUAGCCGGCCUGAGAGGGUGACCGGCCAGAGGGGGAGGCGGAGACAGCCGAGAUGCGUAGGGGAGGCAGCGGGGGGAAGGGUGGGAAGGCGGGCGGAGGCGGGAGGCAGCAGGGCGGAGGGGGGGCUGCGGGGUUGGGGGUGGCACACCGCCUGCGCCGGGGGAGGAGCGGGGGUGCCGGGAAGGAGAAAAGAAGAACCGGCUACCUACGGCACAGCGGCAGGGGUAAUAGGAGGAAUCGCAGCCGUCCGAAC